CCUANGGGGGGCUGCAGUGGGGAAUCUUGCACAAUGGGGGAAACCCUGAUGCAGCGACACCGCGUGAGCGAUGAAGCCCUUCGGGGUGUAAAGCUCUUUCGGCAGGAACGAUAAUGACGGUACCUGAAGAAGAAGCUGCGGCUAACUACGUGCCAGCAGCCGCGGUAAUACGUAGGCAGCAAACGUUGUUCGGAGUUACUGGGCGUAAAGAGUACGUAGGCGGUUUGCCAAGUUUGGUGUGAAAUCUCCUGGCUUAACUGGGAGGGUGCGCCGAAUACUGGCGAGCUAGAGUGUUGGAGAGGGGAGCGGAAUUCCUGGUGUAGCGGUGAAAUGCGUAGAUAUCAGGAGGAACACCGGUGGUGUAGACGGCUCCCUGGACAACCACUGACGCUGAGGUACGAAAGCGUGGGUAGCAAACAGGAUUAGAUACCCCGNUANUC
rnacentral:rRNA from 1 species